CCUAGGUAUGUGCCCUGACCAGGAAUUGAACCCACAACUUUUUGGCAUAUGGGACGAUGCUCCAACCAACUGAGACUCCAGGAUAGGGCAAAUUUACACAUUUUUGACAAUUAUUCCUUCAUAUAUACUUAUCUGUCCUUUAUUGUUUCUCUUCUCCUUUUGGGAUAGCCCUUACAAAUGUGUUGAAACAGCUGAUAUUGAUCUAGUCUCUCGGGCUUUGUUACUUUUCUUCAUUGUUUUCUCUCCUCCUCAGAUUGAAUAAUUUCUUUUGAUUCUUAAAGGUCACUGAAUUCUUUCUUCUAUCAUCUCAAGUCAGUGUACUUUUCAUUUCAGGUCAUGUUUUUCAUCUCCACAUUUCUCUCUGGUUUCAUACACUCUGUAUCUUCAUUGAGAUUCUUCAUGCAUUGCAUCAUUUUUAUAAUAGUUUUCAUUAUUCUUUAAACAUGAUUUCCAUUAGUUCUUUGAACAUGUUCAUAAUAGCUGCUUUUAAGUCUAUGAUAAAUCCAACAUCUGGAGGAGAAAAACAGUUUCUAUUUUCUUCCUUAGUAAGGGUCACAGUUUCUUAUUUCUUUGCUUUGUAAUCUUACUGAUGUUGUAAAUAUGGAGUCAAUUUUCUUUGCAGAGGUUUUUUUUUAUUUUGUUUAAUAAGUUGCCUCCAGCAAAUUUGUGAGGUUCGUCCCUACUAGAGUGUGCAGCCAUUCAUGUCCCUGUUGAUUUUAAAGGUGUUUAAUUCUUGCUUCCUAAGGUUUGCUGCUGUGUCUGCAAUGCUUAGCAUUUAUUGGACCGAGGUCCUCUUCAUACCCCAUCAGUCAGGACUUCCACCCUGCUUAUGGAUCUGUGUGUUGACUCACAAGUACAUUCAAUGUUCAGGUCAUUUUCAAGCCUGCCUUGGUUUUGUACAUCCCAGAGAACAAAUGAAUCAGUUUGGAAAAGUGUUCCAUAUGUUUCUUGGUAACUCUUACAAGGAAAAAACAUUAAUGACAGCCUUUGAACUGGAAUUGGAAAACAUUUGCUAAGGGAUUUGUUACGGUAUCCAUCUUUCAGUUGUUUUUUUAUCACAAAACAAAUGUUACUCUACACAUUAUUUAUUCUAUUAGCCUAACUUAAAUGAGUGUGCAGGAAAAGUGAACCAUGGUAUUAUUUGAGUCUUAGAUAGGCAUGAGAGAGAGUUCCUAGCAACAACUUUCUACAGGGCAUCUGCUCUGGAUCCAAACCUAGUUUCCACAGAAAUCUGGGAAUGGGAAAUUUUAAAUUCCAAUUGCUUGUAAGCAACUUGUGAUCCAGAUAGCUAGCAUUUGACCAAGGAAACACAGAAGCUCAGAGUUGGCCUAACAUACGCUCUUUGAGUAUCUCUGGUCCAUACAAAAACACUAGAGUCAACCAAAUCUACACCUGACCUGGAGUCCUGGUGUGUGGUUCCUACCUCUCUGCAGCCUGGUAAUGUCUUUGAUCCUCAUUGUAGGCUGCAUCAGGAAAUGUCAGUGUCUUCUCUUCAGAUGUCAGUACAGAGAGACUUUACUGUAAAUCUGAGGAGACAAGUAGGGUACAAUAGAUAAUUUUCUAGUUGGGCUGUUGAAGGAGGCAGAUGCUUGGUGAUCACAUUUGAAACCAUUCACACACACCAAAACCAGUUAGUCUAGAGCUGAGUCGGCCUGAUAAAUUUUUGUUGUUAUGUUAACUGUUCUUUUACCAAUGAAGGCAUUCGUCCCACCCCAUCACUCUCCAGCAGCAAUUUUUGCUGAAGGUCCAGGCACUCUGAGUUGCUAUUUCCAAACAAUUUUGGAAACUCUUCAACCAACAAAGAAUAAAAUGAUAAUAAUGGCCUCUGAAGAAUAACUGCCUGAAUUAAUAUCUACUAAUUUGUCUUGCUGUAAAAUAUAGUUGACAAACUUUCAAAUUUUUCUGGUGCAUUUUCUGCAGUGUUUGUUUCUGUUACUUUUCAUUUUGGUUAGUUCUUGAAAUCAUUAGCAAAUGUAAUAGGAAUCUGGUGAGUUCCGAGUUAGCUGGUUUUGGAUUAGCUGUUGUGGGCCUGCUCCUUUGUGUUUCACCCACAACACCAGAUAUAGUCCAAGUGAAAUUGUUGGAUCAAGAACUACAUUAAAAGGAGUUUCUGUAUGUACUCACGUGUUUAUACCAGUUUCUAUGGAGUAUGGAGUCAACAUAUUUUGCCUUCUUAAGAAAUGGAAUAAAGAAGGAAAGAUAGGAGUUUCUGAUAGAGAAAGAUGGAAGCAAGGGGAAAUGAGUAUUUAAACUUUAAGUUUGUAAAUCUUAAAGAAUAUGGAACGUGUGUGGAGCACAAAAGACUCCAUAAUGGUAAAGAUGAUAAGAUUUCACAAGGUCAGUAAGCAGAUUAUUGAAAAGUUUGGCUAAUGUGAUUUGAAGAAAAAAUAGCUAUAUUUUAUGUUGUUAAUUUUUUUAAGCAAUUUUCUUAACCCUUCAAUAAAAACAACCCCUCUUGCUUGCA